rnacentral:rRNA from 1 species
CUACGGGACGCUGCAGUGGGGAAUAUUGCACAAUGGGCGCAAGCCUGAUGCAGCAACGCCGCGUGAGGGAUGAAGGCCUUCGGGUUGUAAACCUCUUUUAGCAGGGAAGAAGCGAAAGUGACGGUACCUGCAGAAAAAGCACCGGCUAACUACGUGCCAGCAGCCGCGGUAAUACGUAGGGUGCAAGCGUUGUCCGGAAUUAUUGGGCGUAAAGAGCUCGUAGGCGGUUUGUCACGUCUGCUGUGAAAAUCCAAGGCUCAACCUUGGACUUGCAGUGGGUACGGGCAGGCUAGAGUGCGGUAGGGGAGAUGGGAAUUCCUGGUGUAGCGGUGGUAUGCGCAGAUAUCAGGAGGAACACCAAUGGCGAAGGCACAUCUCUGGGCCGUAACUGACGCUGAGGAGCGAAAGCGUGGGGAGCGAACAGGAUUAGAUACCCUCGUAGUC